CUUGCACCAAAAUCAUGGACGGACUACCUACAUUUAACUGUAGGUGGUACUCUGUCCAAUGCUGGAAUCAGCGGCCAGGCAUUCCGACACGGGCCGCAGAUCAGCAAUGUUCAUCAACUGGAGGUUGUCACAGGUUAGUUCAGAGUGGUGACUAUUAAAAUUAAAACCCUCAAAAAAAAAAAGAAGUACUCACUAAAAAGGUUGUUGCAGGAAAAGGUGAGAUUUUAAACUGUUCAGAGAGACAGAACAGCGACCUGUUUCAUGGAGUUCUUGGUGGGUUAGGUCAGUUUGGCAUCAUAACAAGGGCAAGAAUAGCAUUGGAACC
rnacentral:lncRNA from 1 species